GACGAACUCUGGCGGCGUGCUUAACACAUGCAAGUCGAACGGUAAGGCUCCAGCUUGCUGGGGUACACGAGUGGCGAACGGGUGAGUAACACGUGGGUGACCUGCCCUGCACUUCGGGAUAAGCCUGGGAAACUGGGUCUAAUACCGGAUAGGACCGCACCGUGAGGGUGUGGUGGAAAGUUUUUUCGGUGUGGGAUGGGCCCGCGGCCUAUCAGCUUGUUGGUGGGGUAAUGGCCUACCAAGGCGGCGACGGGUAGCCGGCCUGAGAGGGUGGACGGCCACAUUGGGACUGAGACACGGCCCAGACUCCUACGGGAGGCAGCAGUGGGGAAUAUUGCACAAUGGGCGGAAGCCUGAUGCAGCGACGCCGCGUGGGGGAUGACGGCCUUCGGGUUGUAAACUCCUUUCACCAUCGACGAAGGGUUUCUGACGGUAGAUGGAGAAGAAGCACCGGCUAACUACGUGCCAGCAGCCGCGGUAAUACGUAGGGUGCGAGCGUUGUCCGGAAUUACUGGGCGUAAAGAGCUCGUAGGUGGUUUGUCGCGUCGUCUGUGAAAUUCCGGGGCUUAACUCCGGGCGUGCAGGCGAUACGGGCAUAACUUGAGUACUGUAGGGGAGACUGGAAUUCCUGGUGUAGCGGUGAAAUGCGCAGAUAUCAGGAGGAACACCGGUGGCGAAGGCGGGUCUCUGGGCAGUAACUGACGCUGAGGAGCGAAAGCAUGGGGAGCGAACAGGAUUAGAUACCCUGGUAGUCCAUGCCGUAAACGGUGGGCGCUAGGUGUGGGUUUCCUUCCACGGGAUCCGUGCCGUAGCUAACGCAUUAAGCGCCCCGCCUGGGGAGUACGGCCGCAAGGCUAAAACUCAAAGGAAUUGACGGGGGCCCGCACAAGCGGCGGAGCAUGUGGAUUAAUUCGAUGCAACGCGAAGAACCUUACCUGGGCCUGACAUAUACAGGAUCGCGCCAGAGAUGGUGUUUCCCUUGUGGCUUGUAUACAGGUGGUGCAUGGUUGUCGUCAGCUCGUGUCGUGAGAUGUUGGGUUAAGUCCCGCAACGAGCGCAACCCUUGUCUUAUGUUGCCAGCACGUUGUGGUGGGGACUCGUAAGAAACUGCCGGGGUUAACUCGGAGGAAGGUGGGGAUGACGUCAAAUCAUCAUGCCCCUUAUGUCCAGGGCUUCACACAUGCUACAAUGGUCGGUACAGUGGGUUGCCAGUCCGUGAGGGCGAGCUAAUCCCGCAAAGCCGGUCUCAGUUCGGAUCGGGGUCUGCAACUCGACCCCGUGAAGUCGGAGUCGCUAGUAAUCGCAGAUCAGCAACGCUGCGGUGAAUACGUUCCCGGGCCU
rnacentral:rRNA from 1 species